CCUACGGGGCGCUGCAGUGAGGAAUAUUGGUCAAUGGACGAGAGUCUGAACCAGCCAAGUAGCGUGAAGGAUGACUGCCCUAUGGGUUGUAAACUUCUUUUAUAUGGGAAUAAAAUGUUCCACGUGUGGGAUUUUGUAUGUACCAUAUGAAUAAGGAUCGGCUAACUCCGUGCCAGCAGCCGCGGUAAUACGGAGGAUCCGAGCGUUAUCCGGAUUUAUUGGGUUUAAAGGGAGCGUAGGUGGAUUGUUAAGUCAGUUGUGAAAGUUUGCGGCUCAACCGUAAAAUUGCAGUUGAAACUGGCAGUCGUGAGUACAGUAGAGGUGGGCGGAAUUCGUGGUGUAGCGGUGAAAUGCUUAGAUAUCACGAAGAACUCCGAUUGCGAAGGCAGCUCACUGGACUGCAACUGACACUGAGGCUCGAAAGUGUGGGUAUCAAACAGGAUUAGAUACCCCUGUAGUC
rnacentral:rRNA from 1 species